CACAAAAAGAGAAACAACAUUGUCAUCCCCUAUGUGGCAGGAAUUUCAGAGAAACUCAGGAGGAUCUUUAACACCCACCAGAUCCCAGUACACUUCAAGCCCAGCAACACUCUGAGGCAAAAGCUGGUCCAUCCCAAGGACAAAAUUCCAAGGGAGAAACAGAGCAAUGUGGUGUACGCAGUGCAGUGCAAUGAGGAAUGCUCUGACCUGUACAUUGGAGAGACUAAGCAGCCAUUACACAAGCGCAUGGCACAACACAGGAGGGCCACGACCACAGGCCAGGACUCAGCAGUCCACCUCCACCUCAAGGAGAAGGGGCACUCCUUUGAUGACCACAAGGUGCGCAUUCUAGCCAGAGAGGACAGAUGGUUUGAGAGAGGGGUAAAAGAAGCCAUUCAUGUCAAACUAGAACGGCCAUCUUUGAACAGAGGAGGGGGCCUCAGACACCACUUGUCUCCCACUUACAACGCCGUUCUUAGAGCCCUCCCAAGGAGGUGCAGCCAUCUGUCCCACUUGCAGUCAGGUGACCCCCAACCACCCUCCUAGAGGGCUGGGAGGGGUAACGACCGCCCAUCAAAGGCUAACGACUCACAUUAACACCUAACGAGUCUGUUGGUUUCGGGUCUUUGUCCACUUGUUUUUGCCACCACCCUCCUGGUGGAUAAAUAUCUGGUACUCCCCACCAGGCUUUCAGAACUGAAGAAGCCUCUUGGAUGAGAGGUGAAACGUUUUCGACUCACACGAGGAAAGCCCACUGCCACUGCACCUCCCCCCCACCUUCCUGUCUAUAUAAAACCUCUGGCACUGACAGUCUGUCCUGGUAAUACACUCUUUGAGGCGAUGGCGAAGCAGGCUGAACUGAGCUUUAAUUGCCAUAGUGGACUUUAAUUAUACGAUGACCGCAUGUAGGUUUAGCCGCCUGCAGGUCCUAAUCUGAGGUAAGAGAUCAUAUUUGAAUUGUUUUGUUGAGAUUGAUCUAGAAUUUUCAUACUUUGCUGAAUGUUGCGUUCACGCUUCUAGAUACUAAUGCUGCUGCGUGAGCGAGGCAGAUCACUGUGAACCUGAUGCAGCUCUCUGGUGCUAUCUGGUGUAAAUACACUGACACAAUGAAAUAACCGGUAAAUUAGCCCAAACUGAAAACAAUAUUGCCUUGAUUUUAGCUUAAGAUGAUGUAGAAAUUAUCACUAGCAUUCAUUAACAUGUAUCUCUGCUGCAUCAAUAAUAACAAUUCGGAAAAACUACCUUAUAACUGCAUGUAUUAAUUCAUGUGUGCACUGGGGUGAGGAUUUAACAUUAAAAAGGCAACAAUCAUGCGUCAUCUGCAUAAGUUAGCACAUUCUUGUAAUGUCAUUUAGCAUGCAUGUUCUUGCUACUGUUGUGAGGGGUUCCAGGGUUAGUUUUUUCCUAUCUAUAAUUUAGUUUCAAGCAUCACACAUGGAAAAAAAAACCCUUGCUGGUGCUACAUCAUAUUCUGAGGUCUGAUUAACAUUCAUGUAUUUUAUUGCUAGCUGUUACACAAGAAAUGAUAAAUCUACAUUUUAACAGUUGUAAUAGUGCAAAUAACAGCAGCAAGAAGUCUUGGUCUGUCUGUAGAGUGCACUCAUAUUUCAGUAUAACACAUGCUCUACUUGAUCCCAUGUGGGUCCAUCUUAUGCCUGGCUAUCAUGCAGCAGCUCUACACAUACUGACAGGUGACGAAUUAAAGGAAAAACCUGAACCACUGACCCCCACAGUGCAGGAAUCCAGUGGCUCUAUCAGGCUGUAGGAGGGAAUUUGUCCUCUAAGAGAUAAGGCUCACUGUAAACCAAUACAAAGGUAUUGUGAAUGAUCACCUCUAUUUCUAUUCUGAUGGGAGUGAACUCAUCCAAAGGACAGAACAGGUUGGCGAAUGGUUGGAUCAGUAUGAAAAUUAUAUGAAUCAUAUCUUAUAAUCAGAUCUUAACUCAGUUGAACAUGUAGACAAAAUACUUUGGGCCUACAUGGUAGACAGGGAUCUCAACCAUUAUCAUCAAAACAUUACAGUUCAGAGACUUAUAGAAUCAACGAUAAGGUGUAUAGAUUGACCAAUGUGGUGUUUAUAAGAGAGAUGUCAAUAUCGAUUAUUGAUAAUCGAGAAAGGCUGAUGACCAAUAUUUGGAACCAAUAUACAUUAAAUGUUAUAUAUUCACCAGAGCUUCUAUGCUUUGAAAAUGCGCUCAGUUUCUCUCUUCCUGUGUAAACAAUAGUUGUGAUUGGCCUUUACCCUUGACAUGCAACAGCCAAUCAGAUAGAGAUGUGGGUCGGAUAUUACAGAGAGAGAGCAAAUACGAGUCAAAUGAACGCAUUUAUUGAUGUUGUAAUAAUCGGCCAAUAAAACAAUUGAUACAAAUGAUCUAAAAAUUCCAAACAUUGGCAUCAAUAAUUAGCUCGGCUGGAAAUCAGUCAAUACCAAGCAAAGCACACUGAAGUUGUUCUCACAGCACAUGAAGGCCCAACACCUUACUAUGACCUUUAUUUUGCUUUUUCCUGUAAUUUGUCACCUGUCUGUACAUCCACAUUGUCAGUUCUAGCCAAGGGCAUUGCUCCAAGAUAAGGAGGUGAUAACUGAAGAUGACCAGUGAGUCAAUCAAUUAGGAGUCUCAGGAGAGGCCUAUGAUUGCCACAUAAUGCAGACACUACUGUACACACUGAAUGAUAAAAGAUAUAUAGAGUGUUUUAUUUUAGUUGCUGCAAUACAAUCUUUACAUUUAAGAGCAUAUUGAUCAAUUCACUUGAAUAAGAUAAUGUAUUUUGUCUAUUUAAUGCUGUUUUGUCCCUCAUAGGUUUCGAAAGCCACAUCUGCCAACAGACAGAAGCAGAAGCUGAGCAGCCACUGGUUGGAUGAGUUUCUGUCAGACUGCUUCAAAUCCUGUCUGAUGGGUUUUAGGUGCACAAGCAACAUUUAGAGAAACUUCCAGUGCAGUUAACAUUGACUCACUAGCUCGCAGAUAAUAGGCUAUAAGAUAAAAAUCCCUAGGUGUGAGGGUUAAUUUGACAGAGCUGACAUUGCGCACUUGUCUGUUCACCUGCAUUAUUGGGUAAGGAGAUAAGAAGCGCCAUGAGUCAUUCCGGCCAGAGAUGGCGAUAAUGCGGAGCUUUAUCCAACAAGGAGAGGUCUGCAUUUAGCUUCAUGAGAAGUGCAUUUUACAUCGAGAACUUCGCAAAUGCACAACGCAAGAACAAUUCAUCGUAACUGCGGUGGUUCAGCUAUUGUUUCUAGUGUAAUAUCAGUCAACAAAACCGUGAAUUUAAGCCCAACGGGCCACAAUAGCCCGGUCACGUAGCGAGUAGUCCGUGACAGGCGGCGUUGCAGCAGCAGCAGCAUGCGAUCUACACUGCACAGUUAAAGCUUUGAAUUUGACUUCCUGGUUGAAUUUACACUUUGAGAAAUUAGUGACUAAUUUGAAAUUGGUUUCAAUAAUUAAAUUCUGUCCCCUUAAAUUGCUCCAUUGACGGUUUAGAGAUUCAGGGACACUACUUACCUCGUAGUGCUUCAUCUUGCCAGCUUGCACCCCUUCCUUAAUAUCCCGGAUGAGUGACAGCGGCGCGUCCAAUCAGCGGGGUAAUAUGAAACUGCUGAGCACUCUGUGGGCGGGCACUAUGGUCACGCUGCGCCCAAUCGGCGCCGGUAAUAGCCAGACGAGCACGCCCACACAUCAGCUAUGUAGCCAAUGAGCCUUAAGCUAAUAUAAAGGUUACGAAGAAUAAUUGGAUUUAUUCAUUUAGUUCGGAUUUCUUGUGCUUUGAAUAGAGGCUCUUGUCCACUUGGCUAUAACAGAUUGAGGUUCACUUCACCAAUAAAAUGUCAUCUUAAUUUUCAUGCUAUUGUCCACUUUUUUUUUAGCCUCUGAAUUUUUAUAUAGUCUCAAGUUUGAACCUACAUCUUUGCAAUUUUGUGUACAUUGUGUUGACCUUGUUUAUUUCCAGUGUCCCACAAGCAAAGUUUGCUGUAUGUUGCGUAUUAUAUUGUCACUUAAAAAAAUAAACAUCACAUUAAAAGCA